UUUAAAGAGAGUUUGAUCCUGGCUCAGGACGAACGCUGGCGGCGUGCCUAAUACAUGCAAGUCGAACGAACGGAGGAAGAGCUUGCUCUUCCAAAGUUAGUGGCGGACGGGUGAGUAACACGUGGGCAACCUGCCUGUAAGUUGGGGAU
rnacentral:rRNA from 1 species